rnacentral:rRNA from 1 species
UACGGAGGGUGCGAGCGUUAAUCGGAAUUACUGGGCGUAAAGCGCACGUAGGCGGUCAGGCAAGUCGGGUGUGAAAGCCCUGGGCUCAACCUGGGAAUUGCAUUCGAAACUAUCUGACUCGAGUAUGGGAGAGGGAAGCGGAAUUUCCGGUGUAGCGGUGAAAUGCGUAGAUAUCGGAAGGAACACCAGUGGCGAAGGCGGCAUCCUGGACCGAUACUGACGCUGAGGAGCGAAAGCCAGGGGAGCAAACGGG